rnacentral:sRNA from 1 species
GCGUCUGCAAAAUCAGGCGUCGGGAUUGGUCUCCCGGUUAUAACUCGUUGACGGCAUAUGACAUUUCUGUGUCAUUUCU